UAAUAUAAUAAACCUCUAAAGAACCGAAAUAUCCAGAAAUCAAUUGCGUGAAAAGUUGAAGAGGUUAGAUGUCUUAAGGUGGAAGCAUUUAUGUAAGGUCAAAAUACGUGCUCAAGUUCGGUGAAGAAAAAGUUGCAAAGCGAUAGGCUGAGAGACAGAAACUAAAAAAUUUACUGCAUCAGUAAAAAUUGUACAACUAAAAAGUUCCUUCAAGAUAAAUCACGACAUCUUCCCCCAAAAAGAGGACGCUUCAUCCUAGAGAGCGAAGAUGUUGUUUCCUGCUGACCCCGGAAACUCUUUUAUUCGUAAGAUGAAGCAAAACGAUCGCUAUAAAGUCAGCCUGUGAAACAAUCGUUUUAUGAAUUCCGUAGUUCCUGAAGAAUCGAUUCCUUCAAUGAUUCUAGAAGCAUUCAAGGAAUAACGUUUCGAUACAGCGAAGGAAUGCCCGAGGCCGGACGACAUCAAGAAAGAAAGACGCAGGUCUCAAAAGUCAAAAGAAAAGGCGAAGAGCAGUUGGGAUUUCUUUUAAGACAGAAAUCUACAUCUAUAUAAUACACGUCUUUGACUGAAUUAUUUUGGAUGGUUUCCCUUUAUAGAAUAGUCUAUUGGUAUAGAGAUACAUAGAUAUUAGAUAUGUCCAAUAUUUGUAAAUGUAUUAUUUAUGUUUUUUGUUUCGUAUUUUAAAUUAUUAUUUUAACAUUUUUUAUUAUUUUUAACUCUAGUUGAUAUAUAUCAUCGUUCAAAAAUAUAGUAAACGAUUAAGUUCUCUUUCUUAGGCAACGUACGAAUAAAUAGGUUUCCGUAGUGUGAAAGCCAACAGAUUCUUGUUUAUGUCAGCGUACAACCUAAUCGGGUAAAUCUCUAACUUUAAGCUUAAAUACAAAGGUUCUUGUAUAUGCUAAAUUACGACCAAGCAUUUAAUUUUAUAGAUCCUUUCGUACGUUAAUUUUAGUUGAACUUAGCACUUGGCCGCAUGGUGCAGCACUAGUACGGGAACAAGCAGAUCCAUAAGCGCGAGCACUGUUCGUAACCAUGGACAACAUAUGUAACGGCUCGAUACCAUUCGUGCGAUGACACGAACAGCUUAUUCGCGACACAAUACUGUUUGUAUAUUGUUACGGACGAUGUUAUCCCCCGACACAAUAUUCGUACUACAACGUCGUUAAGAUGUCCUGUGACUCUGUUUUUCUGUAAUUGCAAUUUUUAUUUUAAUAAGCAAGCGCACAAGAUAUCUCGUCCGUGACGUAGUAUGACUAUGAACGAUUUCUACCACAAUCGUGAAAUGUUUCGUUUGUAGUUGCAAAGUAGUUAAAAGCAUAUUAAGAAAUCAUAAAAAAUCUACUAACAAUAUAAAAUCUUUUUGAAAGGAUUAAAAGCGGCCCUUUGUAAACUUAUGAAUCAGUACUGUUCAAAACUGUCGCAAUUUGGGUAUUUAAAUCCGUACAAAUUAUUUAAACAGGGUGGCCAGCGCAACGGCCGCUACAAACUAAUAAACACUACUGACAACCUGAUAAAAAGAUGUUCUCAACUAAAGUUAAUUAUUGAUGAAUUUAAAAUAAAUUGCAUUACAAAAGAAUAUGAAAAAGGUUUCGAAUAAAGGGUAGUGUCCAAACUGCAAAAUUUGUUACCUGAAUGUGCCGUUUCGGAGGUACCUUAGAUCGCUAAAAGAGAAACUGGGGGUCAUUUUUCACGGAAAUGAACAGUUCGGAAUAUUCGAACUUAUUAAUAUUUGGUGAUCAAAGAUCUUAACUGUAGAAAUUCGCGUAAGAUCGUGAUUACAUAAAGAGGCAAAAUAAGUGAUGACACAACCAAUGACAACGUUCCAAAAGCUCAAAUGCGUACAGGAUAAUCUAUGCAAUUAAAGAUGAAUUUUCAGAUGAAAAAAUCGUGGAGGUUGCUAACGCCAAACAUCUUACACAUAAAUUUAUAAUAAGUUAAUGGAAAAAUGGAUUUAUCGUUUAAUAAAACAAUGAUAUUAAAAUAAAUUUUGAAGGGGAAGUAUAAAUAAUAUUUCAUGAAUGUUUCAUGGUAAUAAAUAAUUCUUUAAUAAUUUAACUCAUGUCACACUAUACAUUGUUAUAAUCGCAAUAUAAAACACAUUGUAGGAUUCGUUGAGUGGCAGUUUUCAACAACAAACAUACUCUGUCGAAUCAACUUUUAGAAUCAGGAAAAUCGAAAUUAACUAACCCUUCGCAAUCUUGCUACUUAAUAACGCAAACAUCGCAUAAUAUUAGUAGCUACCACUUCAUCGUCAAUAAGAAUUAAAUAUUCUACAGAAUGUCUCGUAUUUAUGUAGUACUAUGUACAGUUUAGGUAACUGUAAAUUAAUUUUACUUUGUCAAUGACAAUUCAUGAAAUACAUAUUAAGAUAAGUAUAAUUGGCGGUUAAUACGAAAAGUGAUUCUUUUAUGCUAGGUUCUUUUUCCGAAAUGGUCUACGAAGGGUAGAUAUAUCGACAGUUUAAAAGCAUAUCUCUAAUAUAGAGACAAUGAACAAGAAUUCCUAUAUUAAUUUAUACAGGGUGUUCCAUCGAAAGGUUAUUAGUUAUACGGAAAAAUGCAGAAAGAGUUUCAAACGAUGCAAUUCCUUUUAAUAAUUUUAUCUAAAGAGGCACAGUUUUGGAAACAUCCCGUAUAAUAUUUUACAUUAGAAAAAUUGUGUUUGCUUUGAAAUGGUCGCCGAUUCUUACUUUAGAAAAAUAUAUCAAUUAUGUUUUUGAGUAACAAUCGACAUUCAAAUCGCAUUUCCUAUUAUUCGUACAUAUACAAAUUCAUUUUACACACAUUCACACAUACGCGCGCGCGCGCGUGUCAUAUACAUUCAGAGAAACUCGCUAAUAAACGAAAAUUAAAUUAAUUUAGCGUUUGAUUCUUCUGCAAAGUUCAACUCUUCGUUUCAAAUAUUACUAUUUUAUAGAUCGUCUCAUUUUACAUGCAACAAGGGUAUCAUCUCUAGUAUUAUAUUCAAUAAUACAUUAAUAAGUCGUAAUAUCGAAAAUGACGUUACUUUUAUUACUGCUAAUUACCCUUUGAAUAUUGCAGCAUACAUUGCAUUCUAUUAAAAGCUUCAAGUUCGCGGUAAGAAAUCAUAGUAGAUUACUUUAUCACGAUAGAAAAGCAAUUUGCAAAUCAAUGGUAUAUUCAUUGGCAAUGAACUGUUUUAGAAUUCUAGUACUAUUGAAGAACGAAGAGUCAAAUCGACGCUUUUUAAAAUCUAAUACUGCCUUACGAUUUCUUCAUUGAAGCCGACUUAAUAUCAUUCUUCCUAUUCUUAAUCAGUUUUAAGUUUGAAACAAUGAUUUCCAGGUUUCCAAAAGUCUACAAAUUUGCCACUAUUAAGGAACACUGUCAAUCAUUGUUCAAAAAAUAUCAAAACCGACCGAGUUCUAUGUAUAUACAAUUUAAUAAUCAAUGUCUGAAAAAUCUGUAAGACAUUUUCAAAGCAUUAAAAAGGCUAUCAUAAUUACAAGAAUAUGGGUCUUAAAUUAUAACAGGUUGGUUACAGUUGGUUACAAUAUUAUAAUAAAAUUAUCAAAUUUAAUUCAUUUUCCUAAUACGUCUUUUUUAAUGCUCCAAAAACUACUUAUCAAGACUUACGAUCAAAUGGAGUUUCAGAUCCAAGAGAAACUUAAAAACAAAUAGUUUUAUCGAUUACUUAUGAAGAGGAAUCAUCAAAGACUGAUUGGUCCGAGCAGGGUAUGUAAAUGGUACCCUGUCUUUCAAGAAAAUUUUAUAUAAGGAGAAACUCGGUCGAAUAAUCAAUCUUACAAUAUUAUGCUCUUUACUGACUAUGAACAAAAUUAUACGCUUUCGUCUAACUUU